rnacentral:rRNA from 1 species
UGGGGAAUAUUGGACAAUGGGCGCAAGCCUGAUCCAGCCAUGCCGCGUGGGUGAAGAAGGCCUUCGGGUUGUAAAGCCCUUUUGUUCGGGACGAAAUCGUACGGGUGAAUAUCCCGUGCGGAUGACGGUACCGGAAGAAUAAGCACCGGCUAACUUCGUGCCAGCAGCCGCGGUAAUACGAAGGGUGCAAGCGUUACUCGGAAUUACUGGGCGUAAAGCGUGCGUAGGCGGUUUGUUAAGUCCGCUGUGAAAGCCCUGGGCUCAACCUGGGAAUUGCAGUGGAUACUGGCAAGCUAGAGUGCGGUAGAGGAUGGUGGAAUUCCCGGUGUAGCGGUGAAAUGCGUAGAGAUCGGGAGGAACACCCGUGGCGAAGGCGGCCAUCUGGACCAGCACUGACGCUGAGGCACGAAAGCGUGGGGAGCAAACAG